UACGUAGGGUGCAAGCGUUGUCCGGAAUUAUUGGGCGUAAAGAGUUCGUAGGCGGUCUGUCGCGUCGGCUGUGAAAACUCGGGGCUCAACCCCGAGCCUGCAGUCGAUACGGGCAGACUAGAGUGCUGUAGGGGAGACUGGAAUUCCUGGUGUAGCGGUGAAAUGCGCAGAUAUCAGGAGGAACACCGGUGGCGAAGGCGGGUCUCUGGGCAGUAACUGACGCUGAGGAGCGAAAGCGUGGGGAGCGAACAGG
rnacentral:rRNA from 1 species